rnacentral:rRNA from 1 species
GACGAACGCUGGCGGCGUGCUUAACACAUGCAAGUCGAACGGAAAGGCCCUGCUUUUGUGGGGUGCUCGAGUGGCGAACGGGUGAGUAACACGUGAGUAACCUGCCCUUGACUUUGGGAUAACUUCAGGAAACUGGGGCUAAUACCGGAUAGGAGCUCCUGCUGCAUGGUGGGGGUUGGAAAGUUUCGGCGGUUGGGGAUGGACUCGCGGCUUAUCAGCUUGUUGGUGGGGUAGUGGCUUACCAAGGCUUUGACGGGUAGCCGGCCUGAGAGGGUGACCGGCCACAUUGGGCCUGAGAUACGGCCCAGACUCCUACGGGAGGCAGCAGUGGGGAAUAUUGCGCAGUGGGCGGACGCCUGAUGCAGCAACGCCGCGUGCGUGAUGACGGCCUUCGGGUUGUAAACCGCUUUCGCCUGUGACGAAGCGUGAGUGACGGUAAUGGGUAAAGAAGCACCGGCUAACUACGUG